CUGGGGCCCAGCCAGUGGGGAUUCCCCCGCCAUCUCUCCCCAAUAUAUUGCCCGAGCAUUGCACCAGGAGGGCCCGAGGGCCAGGACUGAGCUCUAUAAAUCUACACAGAUAUUUGGAAAUUCCAUUUUUACCAGAGGAAGGGAGGGCACUGGCACCCCUCUCUGCAGUGAUGCCCAACUCCCGCUGGCACAGCCAAGCCGCGCUUGGGGACAUGGAAAGCUGCCUUCAGGGUUUGGCUUAUUGGACCUGGGCUCACCCAUGGCAGGAAUCGCCCUUGCAAAGGGUGGCACCUCACCACAGUUGCGAUACAUAUGUGUAUAUAUAUAUAUAUAUGCCUCAAGAUCCUUCUGGCUUUUUGGGUUUUAAGCAGGAGGUAUUGGAAAAGUUACCGCAGGGAUAGCUGGUUUGUGGAGACCAAGUGUUCAUUGCUUUUUGAUCCUUCAGCGUCGGCUCCUCCUGUCAUUGCGAAGCAGAAUUCACCAAGCGUUGGAUUGUUCACCCACAAAUAGGGAACGCGAGCUGGGUUCAGACAGCCCUGAGACAGAUUGGUUUUACCCUACUGAUG
rnacentral:ncRNA from 1 species